UCUGAGAGAGAUCUUGCUAUACAGGAGAUGGCAAAGGCACCCACUGGCUGGAGGAAUACAAAGACCUAAGUGAGUAGGCUGGGGGAGAUGACAAAGGUCAAUCUGAUCUCAUAGGAGGACUCAGACUUUGGAAAAUGAAGCAAAGUAAGACAGAAAGGGAAGCAGAAGGAUGGCUUGGUUUGCAAUUCUUUGGGCAGGAAGAGUAAGGAAAGCCAAGAAUUAAUGCUUUUGAACUGUGGUACUGGAGAAGACUCUUGAGAGUCCCUUGGACAGCAAGGAGAUCAAACCAGUCCAUUCUAAAGGAAAUCAGUCCUGAAAAUUCAUUGGAAGGACUGAUGCUGAAGCUGAAGCUCCAAUACUUUGGCCACCUGAUGCGAAGAGCUGACUCAUUAGAAAAGACCCUGAUGCUGGACAAGACUGAAGAGAACUUGCAGUCCGAAGUCUACUUCAGAUAAGGCCGCCGAGUGUAAUGGUGUGGACAGAGCUUCUUCAAGAGCAAAUCCAAGAGCCACAGGGAACAAUAGACUAGGGAGACCCUUCCAGAGACAGAGACAACACCCAGUCAAAGAAUUUUCCCCAAACCCAGGGCUACUCAUUGGAAGAGAUCCUGAUGGUGGGAAAGAUUGAGGGCAGGAGGAGAAGGGGGAUGGCAUCACCAACUCAAUGGACAUGAGUUUGAGCAAAGUCUGGGAGAUAGUGAAGGACAGAGAAGUCUGGCGUCUACAGUCCACGGGGGUCACAAAGAGCUGGACGUGCCUGAGUGACUGAAAAACACAAAUUGGUCAUCAGGCAAUUUUGCUAUAAAAGACAAAACAGUGUAAAAUGAAAGAGGGACAUUAAAAAGGACACCCUGAAACAUGAAAACGGAAUAACAAAAUUCAACUAAAAAGACUUGAUUGCAAAAUACAAAACAUUUGAAUAAAUUGAACAUGUGUGUAAGUUUGUGACAAAUCUGCACAAAUAAGUUACUUGGGGAUUGUGCCUAAACCCUUGUCUUUCAUAGUGUCAUGCAUUUUUCUGCUUGUUGAUUCAUAUUCUCAUUAUACUUUUGUUUUCCUUUUUCACUAAAAUUUCUUUUUUCAAGAGAGGUAUCCGUUUCCAAAUGCUGGGAUGUGUAUUUGUAACAGCUCUUUACUGUGCUGGGAAAGCUUCUGCCCUCUUUUUGUCCUUGAUGUGUUGUCUAUAUCUGGGUUGAUAAGAUGUUCCAAAGCUCUAUGGGAAAUGUGGGUUCAACUCUGCGCCUUUAAGGCCCUCAGCCUCUUUUCCCUCCAACGUAGUAUUUUCAAAAUAAGAAACCAGCUGUUGGGGAACUCCUUGGUGGUCCAGUGUCUGGAAGUCUGUGCUUUCACUGCUGAGGGCACACAAGUUCAAUCCCUGGUUGGGGAACUAAGAUCCCACAAGCUUCAAGUGGGGGAGAAGAAAAAAAAAUCCCAGCUUGUGGGGCCAAUCAUUGUCAUCUAGCAGCUCGAUAAAGCCAUCAGUUAACAUCAUUAACUUGAAGAAACACUAACACAUUUCAGUCAGUUGAAAUUGAAGUGUCAACCAGUUACAGUAAGAC